rnacentral:rRNA from 1 species
UACGUAGGGGGCAAGCGUUUGUCCGGAAUCAUUGGGCGUAAAGAGCGUGUAGGCGGCUCGGUAAGUCCGCUGUGAAAGUCCAGGGCUCAACCCUGGAAUGCCGGUGGAAACUGUCGAGCUAGAGUCCGGAAGAGGCGAGUGGAAUUCCUGGUGUAGCGGUGAAAUGCGCAGAUAUCAGGAGGAACACCAAUGGCGAAGGCAGCUCGCUGGGACGGUACUGACGCUGAGACGCGAAAGCGUGGGAGCAAACAGG